rnacentral:lncRNA from 1 species
GAUUGAGGAAAAUUGCGCGGCACGUAAUUAUCUCGUUGUAAACAUGACAUGUGGGCCUUCUCUCCAUAUUUUCUGAUAAACCCCUGCAGAAAUAGAUAAACACCAAAGCUCGUGGAAUUCUGUCAGAUAAAACCCUAAUUCUAGAUGUUUGUUUCAUAUUGAUCCUUUUUCAUGUUUAUUUGAUUAUUAAUUUUAGUACUUAAGGACUGUCAACAUAUAUAUAAGCAUAAAAUCUUUAUUUGUUUUUUCCUAGUUAUAUUUUAAUAUAGUAUAAGUAUAAAUAUAGAUAGAAAGAUAGAAAUACUUAUCGGGAUAAAUGGGGGUGCUCUCCCCCAAGCUGAAUUUUGACGUAAUUUCUCUUGAUGUAGCUAGCAGGUGGCAGAGGUGUAUUUAAAAGUCAGCAGCAUUCUGACAGUGAUUAGAAUGUCCUCCGUCUGCUAGUCUUCUUGAUUCUUAAAUCCUGUGGAGCUCAAAUAGACAACAAAGCUUGUGGAACUGAUUAAGUGUUAGCAUAAAUAUCUAGCCUUUAUCAUGUUGAGACUCCUUAAUAAUUGUUACUCCCUAUUUUUAUAUUUUUAUUUUAUAAAGCAGAAAUGAAAUAUUUAUUUUAUUUUUAUGCCACCACAGCGAAUGUACUUAUGGGUUUUAUGUCACUCGUAUACUCACAUGGGGCUCACUGUUUUUCACAUUUUUAUUUUCUUUUUAGGAUAGUAUGAACCUGAUUAACUAAAUAAACUAUUUGAAAUAAUUAAAGGGAAAAAGGAUAACUACCAAGUUUACCUCUUGGCAAGGCGUUCGGUGUUUUCAAGUCCUCCGAACGGGACUUUCCAUUUUCUCAAUUGUCCUGGUAUUCGUGGGGUGGCGUAGUCGGUACUUCCGGCGGCACCUCUUCUUCAUGUAUAGUUAUCUUCUCUUUCCAUACCUAACUCGGUGCUUCGGUCUCCUCUGGAUAAUUCUGUUUAAACUCUAUGUCUUCUGACCUUACCACUUCUCCUUUGUAGUCUGCCCAUCCGUCCUUGAUGAUCUGCCUCCUCUGGUUGCGGUUGCGUCGCUUUCUUACUUGCUUAGAUUCUUCAACGAUAUAGUUAGGGUCAAUAAAAUAAUAGCGUACCUUCUCUGAGGGGAAGUGCAUAUGGACUUCUCCGGUUCCAAUGUAGAUGAUUGCUUUAACGGUGCGGAGGAACGGUCUUCCAAGGAUGAUGGGUGGAUCGUAUUCGUCUUCUCCCAUGUCAAUAACCUGAAAGUCUCUUUAGACAAAAUGAUCGUCUAUUUUGACUGGGACAUCAGUUACUGUUCCUUUAACUUCUCGAAAUGUCUGAUCUGUCAUCUGGAACUGAAUAUAUGUUGGUUUUA